GGGGCCAUGAGGUAACCUGGCUAUCCUGCCAGCUUGGGGUGCUGGUUAUCCGAGUUCAAAUCUCGGUGGCCCCA
rnacentral:tRNA from 1 species